rnacentral:rRNA from 1 species
UUGCAGGCUGCAACUCGCCUGCAUGAAGUCGGAAUUGCUAGUAAUCGCAGAUCAGCAUGCUGCGGUGAAUACGUUCCCGGGCCUUGUACACACCGCCCGUCACACCAUGGGAGUCGGUAACACCCGAAGUCGGUAGCCUAACCGUAAGGAGGGCGCCGCCGAAGGUGGGAUUGAUGACUGGGGCGAAGUCGUAACAAGGUACC